rnacentral:lncRNA from 1 species
CAUUUCACUCCGAUCUCAUCCGAUUCAGCUGGUUCAACGCCGGCUGUAAUAUAUUAAACAAAACCCAAGCAAUCGCCGGCGCCACCACAAUCAACAGCAACUGUCCUCGCCCGUCGCUCCCUGCCUCCGCCGCCAUUGCCUCCGGAGUCCCCACAAGCCCCGACGCCAGCAACCCACCCAGACCCAACCCAACAAUCACCGCCUUCUCCGUACGCAUCCUAUUUAUCUGAUUCAACGCCGGCUGAAGAAUGUUGAACAGAACCCACGCCACCGCCGGGAUGAGCGGCAGCAAAAGAGCCAGUCCCCGGUUGUCGCCUUCCGCUAGAUCGGCGAUCUGUUGGGCAGCCAAAGCAGCGUCUCCGGAGCUCAGUGUUGAGAAGAUUGCUCCGGCGAUGGCAGUACCGGCGAGGGAAGGUUUGGUUAGGAUAGGGAGAGGGAGGGAGAUGGGUUUGGUGGCGGGUUUUGAAGGGAGAAGUGGGGUUUUAUUAAUGGGGGUGAAGCAUUUGGCGUUGAGGAUAGCCAUAGUCGCCAUUGUUGCCGCCAUUGAAGGAGAGUGAAGAAAUUGGUGUGUAGGGAAUAGGAAUUAGGGAUGUGAAGAGCGUUUUUGGGAAAUUUGA